AACGAACGCUGGCGGCAUGCCUAACACAUGCAAGUCGAACGAGACCUUCGGGUCUAGUGGCGCACGGGUGCGUAACGCGUGGGAACCUGCCCUUAGGUUCGGAAUAACUCCCCGAAAGGGGUGCUAAUACAGGAUAAUGUCUUCGGACCAAAGAUUUAUCGCCUUUGGAUGGGCCCGCGUUGGAUUAGCUAGUUGGUAGGGUAAAAGCCUACCAAGGCGACGAUCCAUAGCUGGUCUGAGAGGAUGAUCAGCCACACUGGGACUGAGACACGGCCCAGACUCCUACGGGAGGCAGCAGUGGGGAAUAUUGGACAAUGGGCGGAAGCCUGAUCCAGCAAUGCCGCGUGAGUGAUGAAGGCCUUAGGGUUGUAAAGCUCUUUUACCCGGGAUGAUAAUGACAGUACCGGGAGAAUAAGCUCCGGCUAACUCCGUG
rnacentral:rRNA from 1 species